UCGCCUCUACGAAAAGAAGGGAACUAAACAGGAACAAAAGAGAUCCUUUGAAGAAAAUACUUCUCCUUUCUUUUUUUGGAAGAACGUAUAUUUUCUGUACUAAUAGCCAAUGGCCCAAUAAAGGGAUAGAUUAUAUCGACGAUGCGACUGUAAAAUAAUAGCGUGUAUACCGGAAAAACACGGUUUAGACUGUAAAUUGCAUAAACAAUAGGAUAAUAAGAUAUCUUACAUAAUUAAGCAUUACACUAAUUCACAUAUGUUGUUCUACAAAGGGAAAAGCCUACACAGAUAAUAGAAUAUAAACUAAUCAGGUUGAAUCUGCCGAAGAAAAUCAUCUCAAAGUUGCAUGGAUUGACGCUGUUUCAUGAUCUGCCGGCUGCCCAAGUUUUCCCAUAUCCGCACUCGAUAAAAGUAGCAUAUAAGAGGACAUCGUUAGUUUCAAAAACCGGUAAGGAUAAAUUAUAAACGCGAGAGCUGUGAGUUUAUUGGGAAGUGAGGAACUAGGAUCGGAGCGCUUUUUGACUUAGUUUUGGUCAUUGUUUUUUCUAAAGAAGGCACUUUCUGAUGCUGGAUAAUAGCAUCAGAUAUUCGAGAAGAAGAUGUAUUACUGAUGCAGCGAAAAACCCCUAAAACCAAACCCAUUUUUGAUCUGCUCUUGGAUAAAAAAUCUAUGAAUCUGUAGGGCUAUUUUAUAUUUUUGAGUUGUGAUUUAAUCGAAUUAAUUAGUUAAUGGAUACUUAUAGUGAAAAUAUCAAGAAAUGGUCAAGAAAUGUUGUGGAAAUUUCUCUCUUGUUUUGUCUUAUACGUGAGGAAAAGGUGGGUGCUUUGAGUGCUUGCUGGGCAAG
rnacentral:lncRNA from 1 species